ACUACCCGAGCAAUCGUAAAUGUAAUUAGGGUUCGUCGAUUUGCGAUUACAGAGAGCGAGAGGAGAAGACAGCUAGAUCGAGCUUCUGAGGAAGAGACCGGUCUGGCGGUGGAGACGCAACCCUGUUAUGAUUCCUUUUCAUAACUGUAUAACAUUAUUACUAUCUGAAAUUAUCAUAUAUUAGCCGUAAAUGGUCGAGGUUUCAGUUUAGGUUGAUUACAAUGUUAUAAUCUGUACAGUCUUCUUCCUUCUUCCUUUUGUACAGAUGCUAAAGCUGUCCAUCUGUACAGUCUUCUUCCUUCUUCCUUUUUUAUGUAUUUGUUAACUCAAACCUUUCUGUCUACUUGCUCUCCUCUGUUUCUCUUUCUCUUUCUAGCUCUCUCUUUCUCCUUGGUUAAAGUUUUUUUUUGUUGAAAAAAUAUCUCUGGUUAUUUCUAUAUGUAUUAAUCCAAAGAUAUUUUCUGUGUUCUUCUAGACUAAGAUUCAUCAACAUGGAAUCUACUGAACUGGAAGACAUAAAUUUCUUUAGUUCCUUUCCCGACCACAGAAGCUAAAGUUUCUUCACUCCAACCACAAGCUCCCUCUGAUCCGACUCUGUAUCCGAAGACACGGAUUCACCAAAGCCACAUAACGAAGAAGAAGACGAGUACGUCGAAGAGUUGACUCUUUCUCUCGAUCUAGCUAUCUUCUCCUCUCUCUCUCUCUGUAAUCUCAAAUAGACGAACUCUAAACACAUUUACGUUUGCUCGGGUUACAUUAGAUUGGGAUGGGUUAUUAAUUAGGUUGGAUGGGUUUUUGGUUUAAAUUUUAUUUUUUGAAUAUUUACGGAUUGACCCC
rnacentral:lncRNA from 1 species